rnacentral:lncRNA from 1 species
AUCUCACUCUGAGUACUGUGUGUUUCAUCUGCCUUCACUCUCACAAUUAUUAUCAACUUGCUGGCUAUAAAAGGCAGGGGCUACAAACUCAGUGAGCCAAAUGCAGUGCUUGCUUCCUAUCUGUGGUCCAUUGCAUAGCAGUGUGCUUGGGUGCUGCGUAAGACAAUUCCCCCCAACGCCUCCAAAAAAUAGGACAUGGUCCACUGCAGGAGUUCAUAAUCUAGGAGUCCAGAGAGUCCAGGCUCAUCAUCCCUUCAGAAGAAAGAAUCUUCAGGCCUCUGCUCUUGUGAGAGUAAUUUCUCUUAACACCGACAGUGCAGCAAUACAACUACCACCACCUUUCAAUUAUUGAGAGGCAAUCAUCUAAAGCAUUUGGCAAGUGAUCCACUUACGGAGCCAAGCUAAGGGAGCUGAAGAGAAGAGGCCGCCGCCCCAACCCAGCUACUCCAUGUGCUACUUUCUCUCGCAACUUUGAGCAAGAAUGUUAGAUCUUUUGCUGGGGGCCUUCGGAAGCCGUGAGGGAGCAUAUCCUGACACCCACAUAGAAGACCUGGUACCUAUGUUUCCACAUCACAAAGCAGGCCAACAAGCACACAAGGCCGCAGACCAAAUUAAGAAUCAUCUGGAUGAGUAAGAACAGUUUGAAAGUGCCAGUGACGCUGGUACAGUCCGUCACAUCCCGGUAAACAAAGGUCCUGCUGAGCGGCUCCGAGGAGGGCAGUUUGCACUGGCAAGAGUCGAGUGUGGUCUCACAGGUAAACUGUGUGAGCUGCGAAUAGUGGUGGGCGGCAAAGGCCACGGCCAGCACACAGACCGUCAGGCCCAGGGCACUCAGCAGAAAGUAUAACAGCUGCAAGAAAGCAGAAGAAAACCUUUCUGGUUACAAAGAACAUUGGAUGAUGAUUUGCAAAGCGAAUUCAUCAAAACUGUUCUUUUUCUUCCCUCCCAGAAAUUUUCUGAUGGAAAGGCUGUCUCUUCUUAGAAACACAACACCCAAGACAUGGAAAUAGCUCCAUGUUUAUUUAUUAGUGGGUAGUUCUUAAACCCUGAUCACAUUUUCACUUGCCAUCCAGAUGUUGGGCCCUUUUCAAGAGUUGUGACAACCAUAUUAGCUGGACUGUGGAAUGUUUUUGUCUAGAUAUUGCCAGCAGUUUAGAUGAAUCCCAAACAAGCUAGCCAUCCCUGGAUGACAUGUUGUGCUUAUUUUGAACUCAAGAACUUCUGAUAUUAAGACUGAAACAAGACUAGGAAGUAAAGAACAGGUUUUUGUAAUGCAAACACUGUGUGGGCCAAAAUUAGCAAUGAUGGGUCAACUAAUAGCAUAAGUUAAUUUUUUUAAAAGACUACAUUCAAUGUAGUGAUUGCCAAACUGUAUCCAUAAACAUGAGAAUCCCCAGUAGGAGGUUGCUGGGAGAAAAUAAAUUAUGGCUCCAGAAGUCAAGUGACUCAACGUCAGCUUCAUCGCCUGUGAAACUUACCCCAAGCCCAACAACGACCAUGUGAUUCCUGAGCCUGAAAAAACUCUAAAUGGUUCCUCAGUCACCAAGGUUUUGAACACUGUUGGCCUCCAGAUUAGCUUUGGGAUUGAAAAAGUCUGGUUAAAGUUCUCGCUCUGCUGCUACAGGGCUGUGGGAACUCUGAACAAUUUAGGGAUUUAGCUUACACCUAAAAUAUUCUGAGCAAAACUUGUGGGUGUUCACUGACAUGGCCACAAUAAAAUCUAUGGAACAAGAAAUAUUUUUGUGAUUGAACUCACCUACUAGAAAUGUUAAUCUUAAUGGUCCACCUGCUGAGACUCUAGAGCUGCUUGACAGGGUUGUCUGGGGAAUACAACCUUACCCUGUCAAAUGCCUUUCAAUGUUUUUCUUCUCCUUCCUUACCCCCGUUUCAUCGUGUACCUGCAAUGGGACUCUAUUUCUGAUAUUAGAAAACCACCCAAUGGAACUGAUAAAAAUGAGUUGGAACUUGUGACCAGCAGCUGGAUGAGAGGAGUGUGAAUCCCCCAAAUCUUAUGGAUAUAGUGUGCUUUCUUUGAUGUUCCUGCCAAAGUGAGGCUGGAAAGCUAGGAAGAUCUGUAAGACGUGUGCCAGCACAAAGUGACUACAAUUCAAAAGUUCCAAAAACCUUGCUUGAAACAAUUGCAAAUAGCUCAUCAUUUUAAACCAGUGAACCCAAGGCUGAGUGUUUCAUCAAUUUACAGAAAACCAAGAAGAGAAAUCUGACAGCUAUCCCAGUGUAUGACUUACCAUGGAGAUCUUCAAAUAGAAUCACUUUGGUUUGGGUCUCAUUUUCAUAUUAUAACACAAAUUUGUGUAUGUGGGUUAAGAUUCAUAUUUGAUAGGAACUGCUGGGAAUUCUUGCAGUUAUAUCCUCAAAAGACAAAAUAAGCAUAACCAACAGAAUUGUGAAGCAAUAAAGUUGAUUAUGGAUGAAAACUGGGCUGAACAGUCAUAGGACAUGACUUGUUCCUUUGACCUAAAAUGUGCUUUUCUUUCCUUAUCUACCCAGUGUAAUGGUACUACUCUUUCAACCAUCUUGAAUUCACUCACACUUAUUCGUCAAAUCCUGCUCAGCUAUUCCCACUACCCACAAAGUGUACCUUUUUCGUAUUCCUUACUUUUUAUACAUUAGCUCAUUUUCCCCCAAACAAUGCAAUAAAGUAAAAAAUAUUACUCUAUUUUAUAGAAACUUGCAGCUCAGAAAGGAUAAGAAACUUGCAAGUUGAUCCAAAAUAAAUUUCUAAAAAGCAUCAAAAGGUUUCAUUUCUGCAUAAUAUUAAGGACUAAAUUAUAGGAAAACUCUCUCCCUAUAAAACACUGUAAAAUGCUGGAUAAAACGUAGCAUCCCUUAUAAAAUGAAAAAACAAUUAGCCCACUAGCACUGGAAGUCAUCAAGAAAAUUGUUCUGUCUCAACAGAUGCAGGGGGGCAGUUUGAGGUUUUUCUACUACUUUCCUAGUCCUGGAACCUAUUAAGAUGAGAAAGUAACAUGAAAGUGAUCCUGAAAAAAUAAACCAAAACCUGGCUAUUUCAAUAAAUAAAUUGUAAGGGGGAGAGAGACAGAGACAGAGAGAGAGAGACACAGAGAGAGAGAAUAGAAAGGAGAGACAAAGGGUAAAUUUUUGAGUAAAGGAAAUGUUAGAAAUAUAUGAGUCAACUGCAGUGUAUAGAUCUUAUUGAGAUCCUGAUUUUGACAAAUCUAGGAGGAACUAUUAAUGAGUUAAUCAUGGAUAUUUAAACAGUGGUUUGAUUCUAUUAAGAAAUUAACUUGUUAGGUGUAUUAUUAGUAUAUUGAUUAUUUUUUAGUCUUCAUCUUUCGACUUACAUAGCAAAAUAUUUAUAAAUAAAAUGAUAUAAAGUCUGGGAUUUAGUGCAAAAUAAUCCACUGUGUAGUGUGUGUAGUGUGUGGGUGUGGAGGAAAUAUAGGAGCAUACAGAUAAGACAAGAUUGAGCAUGAGUUGAUAGUUAUCAAGGCUCGGUGAUGAGAAUAUAGAGGUUCAUUAUACAAUUGUAUCUACUCUUGUGUAUGCUUGAAAUUUUUCAUAAUAAGUAAGUUAAGGAAACAAAGUGGUUCUAGGCCUGUAACAUCACUGGGACAUAUGGCAAGACAAACCCAUCUGGAAGGGUUGUACUCUCAAAUAGGCUAUAUCAAGUUAUCAUACAUAAAGCCUCUUGGAAGAUGAACUCACAAACCAAAAUUAGCAAACACUUGAAGAAUUAAUUAUUAGUGAAGGCUAGCUCUUACAUGCAUGUACACACACACACACACACACACACACACACACACACACACACACGCUCUAAGAAUCAGAGCUAUAAGAAUUCCAAAUAAUGGAAGUAAUGAGCAGAGCCUAUAAAAAGUACAUUCAAAACAAACACAUGAAGGAAGGAACUGAAAACAUAAAGAACAGGACAGUUUUUAAAGCACCAGGGAUAUGUGAAAAUAACAUCAGUAACAACAUCAGUGAGUUCUAGAAUGAAAAAUUAAAAUUGCUGGCAGUAAAAACUCAAAGGACAAGUAAAAGGCAGAUUAAACCUAAAUGAAGAAGGGAAAAGUGAACCAGAAAAUCUGAGAAAAUAACCCAAGAUACAGCACAGAGAGAUAAAGAGAGAUGAAACAUACUAGACAGGAUAAGAAAUAUGGAGGGAGAAUAAGAAGAUUCUAAAUAUACAUCUGACAGCAAUUCCAGGCAAAGGGAACAAACUUAAUUUUAAAAUUGAGUAUAGAACCCUAAACCCCAAAAUGAGAGAAUCCACAUUUUUCCCAAGCAUUCAAGAACUGUUUAUGAAGAUUGGUCACAAAAUAAGUCUAAUCAAAUAUCAAAUAAUUGAUAUGAAAAACACAUGAACUGAGCACAAAGCAACUAAAGUGAACUCAAUAAUCAAAAGACCAGAUAAAAGACAUUAGAGAAGACUCAAAUAAAUGGUGAGAUCAUCUUUGGUCAUGUAUAGAAAGUACAAAUCCCAGGAAAUUACCAAAAGUAUUUUUCUUGGAACUUGAAAAGCCUAUUCUAAAGUGUAUAUGCAAGAGAAAAUGGCUAAGAUUCACUGAGAAAAUUUUGAAGAAGAAUAAAAUGAAGGAGGGUGGGUUGGGGGUGGGCUGCUUAUCCAUCAUCUUUAUAACAAGAUGCAUUAUAGCAUCAUUUUAAUUUAGACAAUGGUAUUGGCAUAGUGAUAGCCAAAUAAAACAAUAGAACUAAGGAAAAUCACAAAGCAAAUCUAAUAUGGAAACUUGACAGAUGAUAAAUGGGUGUAACAGAUCACUAUGAAAGGGACCGAUUAUUUAUUAAACGGUGCUAAAACAAUUAUCAAUCCAUGUGAGAAAAAAUGUAUGGACCCUUCACAUCAUUGCAAAAAGAAACCACUUAUAAUAAAGAUAUGAAUACCCAAAAGCAAACCUUUAACAUUUUUAGAAAAUGGUAUAGAAAAAUAUUUUUAUGGCCUUGGAGUAGGGAAAAAUUUCUUUAAACUACAUCAAAUCCAUAAAAAAAAGAACUGAUAAAUAUAAAUAUAUGAAGAUUAAAUCUUUUUUCAUAACAAAACACCAUAAAUAAAAGAUAUGAUACCAACCAGAAAAAGAUAUUUGUAGUACCUAAAACCAUAAAGAUUAAGUAACAAAAGUAACAAAUCCUAUAAAUAAAUAAGAAACGAACAACCCAUAGAAAAUAUUUUUUGAAUAAAUAAAUGAUAGAACACAAAAUAAAAUGGCCAAUCAACAUAAAAUAUGUUCAAUUCCAGUAGCAACACCAAAAUGCAAAUUAAAACAAGAUACCAUUGCACACAAAUAAGAUAGGUAAAGAACUCUGAUUUACCACUGGUGGAGGUGAGGUGUAAGUUAGUCCAAUUUGGAUUUGUGGUAGUGACUUGGCAAUAGCUAGUAAUUUGACGAUGUCUAUAUCUUAUGACCCAACAAUUUGACUUCUAGGAAUAUGCCUUAACAAGACUUUAUGUGCACAGGGAGUUAUAGACAAGAAUAUCCACUGUAACACCGUAAAUGCAAAAUAAAAAAUCAUUUUUGAAAACAAAUUUUCUUCAACAAGAGAAUGAAUUAACUGUUAUAUAUCCCCCCCCCCCACCACCACCACUUUCUUUUGAGACAGGGUCUUGCUCUGUUGCCCAGGCUGAAGUGCGGUGGUGCGAUCAUGGCUCACCACUGUCUCAACCUCCCAGGUUCAAAUGAUCCUCCCACCUCAGCCUCCUGAGUAGCUGGAACAACAGGCAUCUGCCACCACACCCAGCUAAUUUCUCUACAAAAAGUAUUUUUUGUAGAGACGGGGUUUUGCCAUGUUGCCCAGGCUUGAACUCCUAGGCUCAAGCAAUCCUCCCGCCUUGGCCUCCCAAAGUGCUGGGAUUACAGGUGUGAGCCACUGUACCUGGCCAAUGUUGUAUAUUCCUAACAGUGAAAUUCAGUAUAGCAAACAUGAAUGAAUGAUAUCUGUGUACUAUUAUAAAUAAAUCUCAAAAACGAUGUUGAGCAGAAAUGAUAUGAUACCAUCUGUAUAAAAAUUAAAAUAUGACAUGUUGGUUAUGGAUAUAUACAAAUUUUCAAAGUAUGAAAACAGGCUUAUGCAUAAAAAAUACCAAAUUCAGGAUAGUACAUAUCUCUGGGGAAGAUGGGAGGGGUAGGGGAAUUUGAUUAAGAAAUGAAACAUGGGAGACUUCAAUACAAUGUAAUGUUUCCUUUCUUAAAAAAUAAUAAAAAAGCAAUUAUUACAAAAUACUAAAAUUUAGCAAAGCUAGGAAUGGAUAAGUGGGCAUUUUUUUCUAUGUUAUUAUGCAUUAUUUUCUAUGUUAUUAUGCAAUUGAAAUGUUUAUAAUUUUAAAAAGCAUAGAAUUGCACAGAAUUACUGACAUUUGUUCAAAUUCACAUAGAAAUGAAAAUUUAAAAAUCAUUACCAAAUAUUUUUUGGAAAAUGAUUCUACAUUAGUAGAGCCAGAAUUCUACCCUUACUCCAAAGCUGGAGUCAUUCCUCAAAUUUCAGACCCCCUCUCCUUUCUUUUUCUGAUCUUACCCUGAGGGUUCAUCAUGUUCUUCUCUGCGCUAGCACGGUACAUUGUUUAAGGCACCACCUUGGCAUUUUGUUUUUAAAACUAAAUUGCAGUUAGUUGUACCUGUGUUUCCUCACCCAGAGACUAAGCUCUUGGGGGCACCAUACCUGGUAUAUGAAAAUACAGAGGGAGAGUGGCUAGGGUGUGGCUUCUACUCCUAACUAACUCUUGUGAUGACUUACCAAAAACUAAUCACCAAGUUCUAUAAAUACUUAUUCUUGCAAAAUAAUCAAUUUCCAAAGAAUGUAAGAGAAUCAAAGAUUGUGUUCCAGCCUUUCUCAUGAAUCAACAGGAGGGGCAGAAUUGUUACAAACAGUAUUUGUGGGAAGAAAUAAACAACCUAUAGUUUAUUUGUUUCACUUGGGGAUUUUCAAGCCCUCAGAAGAGGGAAAGGAAUCUUGCUGAUGUGGAUUGAGCCUACUCCGGUGGUAUAGUCAUGGGCUGGAUUUCAUUACUUAGCCAUAAUUAAGUCAGUUCUCAAAUUAGGUCCCAUUCUAGAAAUGACUGCAGAGAUAAUUCUAUAUUAAACUCCUGGGUUCAUAUAUGUUGAAUAGUACAAUAAAUAUAAACAUAUUAAAUAGCACAGUGCAUAGAAAUUAUACAGUAAAUCAAUAUAAAUUGAAUUAUGUAACAUUGGAAUGGGAUUGUAAAUGAGAGAACCAUCUUGUUCAACCUUUAAAAAUAUUAUCAAGUGGCUUUUCUAAUUGAGAGUACUUUAUGAAAAACAGUAUGAGGGAACAUAAAGUAAUAUAUAUUAUAAUAUUACUUCUCCUUUGAAAGUGUUUUGUCCUUUUCAACAUGAGGAGGUCAGUGUCCCCAAGCAGCCUGCAGCCUCUCCUACAUUUCCCCCUCGCCUCCCAUGGCAACACGGGUUAGCCAGACACUGAGCUUUUUGUGAUGUGUGUGUGAGGACAGAGAGAAGGGGAGCAAAGCUUCAGGGAGGUCUUGAGGUGGAAAAAUUUGUGACGCACACGAUUUGGUGACUGAAGAAGAAUUCUUUCUUGAGGGUUCUAUAACACAAUAGUUACGGUCACCCUAUGUGCAUUUAAAAAUUCCUAGUUGGUCUCAAGCCCUUAAUGCACACCGAAGCCCUUUAAGAGGCUUCUCAAACUACUUGUUCAUGGAAAGAUUAUGAGACAAAGCCAACCUGUGUGGGUUUGGUCCUUCUGUUUCAGAACCUGACUACCAAAGAGCCUGGGAGAAGUACAUAAACUUAUUGAACAUGUAACUCAUAAACUAAAAGAUUCAAACUCUGUACACAGAAUUCUGUAUGCGGUCAUGAAGAAAUCCCUUCUCAUUUAUGAUCAUACAUUUGCCUUAGGGAGUCCGAGUUUGCCCUCUUCACUGCCUUGGGUGCCCCACUAUCUUCCUGAGGUAGGCACAGUCCUCCUGCAAGUUUCUCCCUGAGAGAAGAGCACCUCCAACCUCCAACAGAAUUGAUGAGGACUGAAAUGCUGUUGCCCUUGUCUUAGAAAAUGCCUCCUUCAUAGCUUUCCUGGCAUAGCUAAAUGUGAGAUAGGGCUAAGCCUGUGAGAUCAGGCUAAUGGCCUGAUAUGCAUGCCACACCUGAUACUUUAGAAGGAAGCCAGCCAAGGAAGUGUUUUUUCCCCCACUUAGUAAUAAAGCUAAAAUUCUCUCGCUCGUCAAAGUCUAGUUAACACAUUAGCAGCCCCCUCCCCCUUUUCUGGUCUCCUGUCAUUAUCUUCCAUACAAGAGAGAGGGCUUGAUAAUAACAUAUCUUAAAGGGGUUUUUAAUUGCUCCUUACAGUGAAUGCUGAAUCUAACGCUUUAAAAACAACUGAGUAGAAUGCCACUUAAAAGCGCUUCCUCCAGGUUUCUCACCACCUCUCUCAGUACCACGGCACUCCCAGCCAGGGGAGAGUUGCUCAUUUCUGCAAAGAUUAGAAGCAGGUCCAACAGAACUUCUUCAGCAGAAUCUGAGAAUGCUCAUUUGUGAACAAACUGUCUGCUUUCCAACGUCCCGUCACUUACUGGACUUUUGCCAGCCCCAGGAAACACCAUAAUGAAACACUCACAUUUAUGAAAUUCACAAUUAGGGACCGUGGCUCUAGCAACAUUAGCUCAGAGAGCAUCAACUUUAAAUAUGCUCAAAAAUCAAACUGGAGAGCUUACAGUAUCCCAUCGUGGCCAUCCCUUUUCGUUUUGGAACUGAGAUUGGACCAAUUGUUAUGAAAGGCUGCAUGUUUUAGUCUUCCCUGGUCUUUCCCUCUUGGGUGGCUUGGGUUUGUGCAAUACAGUACUUAGUGAAGGAAAAGCAGAGCCCAGCUCAGGACUUCUUAAGUGAGGGAACAGAAUCCAAUGAGAAGCCCUUAAAUGUGUGUCAAAAUGAAGAUCUACCAAAGAGUGAAGGCACCUACUAAAGGCUAUUACCUCAUAAGGCUCAAAGGGCGGGUGGGGGGUGCCCACAGUAUGCAAUCACCACCCCCCACAGGACAGCAGGCUUGGUCAAUGGCUGAACAUAUAAGCAUUCCCCAAUGGUACCACUCAGCCAGCCACCUUUGCAUCAGAAGCCAAAGUAUCCUUGAGCUACAUCUUGACAUCAGGAUACUCCCUGGAGCAUAAAGAAAUGCAGGAAUUUACAGCGUGGAGGUUCCUAAGCCUUAAAGAGUUAAUGCAGCAAAGGAAAUGCCUAAGUUAACCUUAGAAUUGUAUUCACUAGCUAGAUUUACUUGAUUUUAUUUUUACAGAAAUUUGACAAAAGAAGCAAUCUGUAAAUGCAAUGAAAACAGCUUCCUCCAUAUGUCUCACUACUGGCAUGAGCACGGAGCCGCGCCACCCCAUCGUACCUCCGUGUGUCAGAUUACGGGCUCAGAAUACCCCUCGGAAACACUCAGACUUCUAGCUGUUCCAAGAAAGCCGUAGGGCUUUCAAUAAUAAGCUGUAAAACGAGCUUAAGAGUCACUGAGGUUGCUGUGCAAAUGUAUAACCCUCACCGGAAAUGCUAUGGACUGAAUUGUGUCCCCGUAAGUCAUAUGUUGAAGCUGUAACCUCAAAAGUAACUAUAUUUGGAGAUAGGGCUUUUAGGAGGUAAUUAAGGUUAAAUAAGAUCCUAAGCAUGGGGUCCUAAUCCAACAGGACUGGAGGAUUCAUGAGAAGAGGAAGAGAAAGAGAUCUCUUCUUCUCUUCACAUGCAUGAACUGAGAAAAGACCAUGUGAGCACACAGCAAGAAGGCAGCCGCCUGCAAGCCAGGAAGAGAACCCUCCCUAGCCCCUGACCAUGUUGACACCCUGAUCUUGGACUUCCCGUCUCCAGAACUGUGAGAAAAUGAAUGUUUGCUGUUUAAGUCACCCAGUCUACGGUAUUUUGUUAUAGCAGCCUGAGCCGACUAAGACAGAAAGAAAAAUGUAUUUUAGUUAAUGCCAUAUGUGUAGGUGUACACAUAUGAAUUUUAAAAUUAACCAGGGUGAUGGAGUGAGCUGCUUCACUCAGGCAUCUGACAGUUACUCUUGCCAAGUUUUAUCUCAAUACACAGAGAUCUGAGACUGCAUCCAAAGCAUCUGAAAGAGGGUGUGCCUAUGGAAUAGGUUUUUAUAUAGCUUAUGCUGUAAAGCCUGUUCCUAGCAUCUAUUUUUUUAAAAGAAGUUCACUGUAAGCUUAUGAACUCAUCGUGAUAAACCUAGACUUGAACAUUUACAGCAAAUAAUAACUGGAAGGUUAAACUAUGACAUCAUGAGGUCCCAUCCAGCUCUGGAUUUUGAUGGACAUUUUUUGACCAGUACUUCCUUAGUUUGCCAGGAUGGAAGACCUAAAAAUGAACUGCAUUUUGCAGUGAAUUAUACCUAAUUAAAGUUUAAUGACUAGAUUACAUUCCUGUCUGAUAUGGUUUGAUUCUGUGUCCCCACCCAAAUCUCUCUUGAAUUGUAAUCCCCAUGUGUUGAGGGGGAAACCUGGUGGAAGGUGGUUUGAUCAUGGGGGUGGUUCCCCCUAUGCUCUUCUCAUGAGAAGAUGAGAUAGUGAGUUCUCAUGAGAUCUGAUGGCUUAUAAGUGGCAGUUUCCCCAGUGCUCUCUCUCCUGCAGCCCUGUAAGAUAUGAUUUGCUUCUCCUUUGCCUUCUGCCAUGAUUGUAAGUUUCCUGAGGCCUCCUCAGCCAUGUGGAAUUGUCAGUCAAUUAAACCUCCUUUCUUUAUAAAUUAGUCUCACGUAGUAUCUUUAUAGCAGCGUGAGAACAGACUAAUACACUAUCCUACAGUAACAUAGAAACAUAUAUGCUGAACUCUUCAACAUAACCUUAUGUGUUUCCUUUUAAUGUUAUCAUUAACCCUUCAGGCCACAAUACAACCAAGUGGAUCCAGUGAAAGACCAUCCUUAAUAGAAAUGUCUCAGAUACAGCUAAAGGCAAGAGCAAAUCUAGAAAACACCCAUUUUCUCAGACCACACUGAAAGAGGGCAUCAUAUUGGCAAUCUAUCUAUUCAACUGUUAGACCAAACAUUAGAGAAACCUAUGCCAUUGUUUUCUUCGUAAAAGGUUAAGAGUGGUAAUAUCAACAUCUAGCAUUCAGCCACAUCAAUCCUAAUAUGUCCUAUUCUAGUUAGGAGAGUGCAUAUAAGUCAAAUGACCUUCCUGAGUCCUGCCAUUUUAUAACAUGAAAUAAAAAAUCUAAGUAAUGUUAAGUUAAUAUGUUCUGAAUUCUUCUAGAAUCCAGAAGCCAAAAUGGAGUAAUAACACAUUCCUUACUAUUACCUCAUAGUUGUCUUAAAUGUCAUAAAUAAAUUUGUCUGUGUUUGAAUAUACAACUACAGUCAGCCCUCUGUAUCAAUGGGUUCCAUAUCCAUGAAUAUAAUCAACCACGGAUCAAAAACAUUUGGAUAAAAAAAGGAUGGUUGUGUCUGUACUGAACAUGUACAGACCUUUUCAUGUCAUUAUUCCCUCAAUAAUAUAGUGUGUCAACUGUUUACAUAGUAUUUAUAUUGUAUUAGGUAUUAUAAGUAAUCUAGAAAUGAUUUAAAGCAUAUGUAGGAUGUGCAUAAAUUAUAUGCAAAUACUACACCAUUUUAUAGCAGGGACUUGAGUAUCUGUGAAUUUUGGUAUCAGGAGUCCCAGUACCAAUCCCCUGCAGAUACUAAGGGAUGACUGAAUAUAGCUUAAAAAUGGGCAUAUGCAUGUUCAAACAGAAGCUCUGAUAAUGGCAAGUAUGGAAUAAAUAGAUUUCAGUUCAACAUUUAUUAAUUA